rnacentral:rRNA from 1 species
ACGUAGGGGGCAAGCGUUAUCCGGAAUUAUUGGGCGUAAAGAGUGCGUAGGUGGUUUUUUAAGCGUGAGGUGAAAGGCAAUAGCUUAACUAUUGUAAGCCUUGCGAACUGGAAGACUUGAGUGCAGGAGAGGAAAGUGGAAUUCCUAGUGUAGCGUUGAAAUGCGUAGAAAUUAGGAGGAACACCAGUGGCGAGGGCGACAUUCUGGACUGUAACUUAUUCUGAGGCGCGAAAGCGUGGGGAGCAAACAG